rnacentral:sRNA from 1 species
UAGUAGAUUGCACUGCUGCGCCUGUAGU